rnacentral:tRNA from 1 species
AGUAAAAUGGCUGAGAUAUAGGUAAUGAAUUGUAAAUUUGUUAAGGAGGUUUGAAUUCUCUUUUGCUA